AGAGUUUGAUCCUGGCUCAGGAUGAACGCUAGCUACGGGCUUAACACAUGCAAGUCGAGGGGUAGCAGGGUAGCAAUACCGCUGACGACCGGCGCACGGGUGAGUAACACGUAUCCAACCUUCCCAUAACUCAGGGAUAGCCUUUCGAAAGAAAGAUUAAUACCUGAUAGUACUUUUUCAAGGCAUCUUGAGAAAGUUAAAGAUUUAUUGGUUAUGGAUGGGGAUGCGUUCCAUUAGAUAGUUGGUGAGGUAACGGCUCACCAAGUCUUCGAUGGAUAGGGGUUCUGAGAGGAAGGUCCCCCACAUUGGUACUGAGACACGGACCAAACUCCUACGGGAGGCAGCAGUGAGGAAUAUUGGUCAAUGGGCGAGAGCCUGAACCAGCCAAGUAGCGUGAAGGAUGAAGGUCCUAUGGAUUGUAAACUUCUUUUAUAGUAGAAUAAAGUGAUCCACGUGUGGAUUUUUGUAUGUAUACUAUGAAUAAGGAUCGGCUAACUCCGUGCCAGCAGCCGC
rnacentral:rRNA from 1 species